rnacentral:rRNA from 1 species
AUUGAACGCUGGCGGCAUGCUUUACACAUGCAAGUCGAGCGGCAGCGCGGGGGGUAACCCUUGGCGGCGAGCGGCGGACGGGUGAGUAAUGCAUCGGAACGUAUCCCGUAGUGGGGGACAACCCAGCGAAAGCUGGGCUAAUACCGCAUAUGCUCUACGGAGGAAAGCAGGGGACUCGCAAGGGCCUUGUGCUAUGGGAGCGGCCGAUGUCCGAUUAGCUAGUUGGNGGGGUAAAGGCUUACCAAGGCGACGAUCGGUAGCUGGUCUGAGAGGAUGAUCAGCCACACUGGGACUGAGACACGGCCCAGACUCCUACGGGAGGCAGCAGUGGGAAAUCUUGCGCAAUGGGCGAAAGCCUGACGCAGCGACGCCGCGUGAGGGAUGACGGCCUUGG